rnacentral:rRNA from 1 species
CAAAUGAAUAGACGGGGGCCCGCACAAGCGGUGGAGCAUGUGGUUUAAUUCGAUGAUACGCGAGGAACCUUACCUGGGCUUGAACGUAUUAUGACAGUCCCCGAAAGGGGAUCUUCCUUUAGGACAUUUUACGAGGUGCUGCAUGGUUGUCGUCAGCUCGUGCCGUGAGGUGUCGGGUUAAGUCCCAUAACGAGCGCAACCCCUAUUCUUAGUUGCCAACAGGUAAUGCUGGGAACUCUAAGAAAACUGCCUACGCAAGUAGUGAGGAAGGUGGGGAUGACGUCAAAUCAGCA